rnacentral:rRNA from 1 species
AGAGGGUGCGAGCGUUAAUCGGAAUUACUGGGCGUAAAGCGCACGUAGGCGGCUUGGCAUGUCGGGUGUGAAAUCCCCGGGCUCAACCUGGGAACUGCAUCCGAAACUGCCUUGCUAGAGUAUGGGAGAGGGAAGUGGAAUUUCCGGUGUAGCGGUGAAAUGCGUAGAUAUCGGAAGGAACACCGGUGGCGAAGGCGACUUCCUGGACCAAUACUGACGCUCAGGUGCGAAAGCGUGGGGAGCAAACAGGAUUAGAUACCCUGGUAGUCCACGCCCUAAACGAUGACAACUAGAUGUCGGGAGGGUUUGCCUUCCGGUGUCGUAGCUAACGCGUUAAGUUGUCCGCCUGGGAAGUACGGCCGCAAGGUUG